rnacentral:rRNA from 1 species
AACCUGCCCUUAACUCUGGGAUAAGCCUGGGAAACUGGGUCUAAUACCGGAUAGGAGCGUCCACCGCAUGGUGGGUGUUGGAAAGAUUUAUCGGUUUUGGAUGGACUCGCGGCCUAUCAGCUUGUUGGUGAGGUAAUGGCUCACCAAGGCGACGACGGGUAGCCGGCCUGAGAGGGUGACCGGCCACACUGGGACUGAGACACGGCCCAGACUCCUACGGGAGGCAGCAGUGGGGAAUAUUGCACAAUGGGCGCAAGCCUGAUGCAGCGACGCCGCGUGAGGGAUGACGGCCUUCGGGUUGUAAACCUCUUUCAGUAGGGAAGAAGCGAAAGUGACGGUACCUGCAGAAGAAGCACCGGCUAACUACGUGCCAGCAGCCGCGGUAAUACGUAGGGUGCGAGCGUUAUCCGGAAUUAUUGGGCGUAAAGAGCUCGUAG